AGAGCUUGCUCUCGGGUGACGAGUGGCGGACGGGUGAGUAAUGUCUGGGAAACUGCCCGAUGGAGGGGGAUAACUACUGGAAACGGUAGCUAAUACCGCAUAACGUCGCAAGACCAAAGUGGGGGACCUUCGGGCCUCACACCAUCGGAUGUGCCCAGAUGGGAUUAGCUAGUAGGUGGGGUAAUGGCUCACCUAGGCGACGAUCCCUAGCUGGUCUGAGAGGAUGACCAGCCACACUGGAACUGAGACACGGUCCAGACUCCUACGGGAGGCAGCAGUGGGGAAUAUUGCACAAUGGGCGCAAGCCUGAUGCAGCCAUGCCGCGUGUAUGAAGAAGGCCUUCGGGUUGUAAAGUACUUUCAGCGGGGAGGAAGGCGGUGAGGUUAAUAACCUCACCGAUUGACGUUACCCGCAGAAGAAGCACCGGCUAACUCCGUGCCAGCAGCCGCGGUAAUACGGAGGGUGCAAGCGUUAAUCGGAAUUACUGGGCGUAAAGCGCACGCAGGCGGUCUGUCAAGUCGGAUGUGAAAUCCCCGGGCUUAACCUGGGAACUGCAUUCGAAACUGGCAGGCUAGAGUCUUGUAGAGGGGGGUAGAAUUCCAGGUGUAGCGGUGAAAUGCGUAGAGAUCUGGAG
rnacentral:rRNA from 1 species